rnacentral:antisense_RNA from 1 species
AGUCGCGUCGGGCCUCCCUAGGGGGCUGCGAGUGUCAGUCGGCUCUCCGCACGUGUCCGCGGCCUCGCGGAGCAGUCCACCCCUAGCUGGUUUCUGCUUCCACCUGCUGAUCUCGCAGAGCACUGCAAGCUAUUUGGCAUAUGAAGGUCUUGACCUGAGAAAACCAUCUUGGAUAACCACAGCAAGGAAAAGGAAAAAUGCAACACCUAGGAGAUUUCAGUAAACAGUAGAAUCAUGCCAACCUAAUCUGUGUUAAAAUGCUUGGAAUGUGGGAGCCGCUGAUGAUGCCUGUUGUCUGUGUGUCUGACUGAAUCCUUUCUUUUCUCAGAGCAGCAAAGCAAAGCCUGGGAACCAGGCCAAAUGCCUGCCACUUACCUUAAAUUGAUCAGCCACUUUGAGAUUAAAAC